UUAUGAGUAUUUAUUAAUUAUUUUUUUAUCAAACAAUUAAUUAAUACUUUUAUGAGUAGAAAAACUAUAUUUGUUUAGCUGAAUUGAAGUUGAAGACCACUUAACAUUCAGAAAACUAUAAAAGGCAAAUGUUUGAAAGUGUCCAGUAUUAUUUAUCAUCAUGAAGUUUCUUUACGUAGUUGUUGCUCUCGUUUUGCUAGCAGUUCAACUAGUUAGUUCUUCUCCAGCUAGCAACUCAAAUUGCGGAAGAAUGGCUUGCCCAAUGAACUAUGCUCCAGUUUGUGGAAUUCUCAAUGGAAAAAGACAAUCCUUCUCAAACAGUUGUGUAAUGCAAGUUCACAAUGACUGCCAACCCCAAGGAAAGAAAUUCCAACCUUGCUAAUAAACUUGUAACUUUUAACAUUUUUUGUUUUCGAAGAAAUAAAUUAAAAUAGUGAAACUGA